UUUACAUUGAAGCUCGAGGUUUUUUUUUCGGGUGCACGCAUCUCAGGCUUGAAUGAGAGCCGGGGCUCGGCUCGUCUCGGGGCUAAUGGCCGAGUCGCGGCCUAACGGCUAACGGCUAGCACAACUGAGUGUGUUGACGAACGAGCGUUUGAAAUCCCACAAAGAGUCAGCCCCCUUCAGGACGCCAUUCGUCACAUUUCAUUAAGGACCAACAAAACAGGCAAAUUGUGUGCGAGGUACAUAAAUGCAGUCAAAGGAUGUGAAAUAUUUGCAAAGAGUACAAUCGGCAGAGGACAAUUUGUUGCUGAAUAUCGGGGAUAUAUGAUAAAUGAUGCAGAAUACUAGAGCAGAAGAUGAGUUUACCACCAAUCAUGUGCUGCAUUUAUGUUUGCAUUCAAGUGGAGAGGGAAAACAUGGUGCAAUGAUGCUUCACAAGAAGAUGAGUCAUUUGGGCGACCAGUGAAUGAUGAAGACAGGAGGCCAAAUUGCCAGAUGAAAAGGAUUGAUGUGGAUGGUGUGCCACACCUAUGUUUGUUUGCUUUCAAUGACAUUCAAGAGGGAGAAGAAAUGACCGAUGAUUAUGGUGGCGAAGACUGCCCAUGGAGAACACAAGUAUGUAUACAUUGCAGAUUAUAAAGAAUGGCUCUGUGUAAUAAGGAUGGAAGU